UGAGUUAGAAAGGAAGUAAAGAGACAAGAAUAAAGGUUCAUGAAUCCUUCUAUUUUCAAUUAAACAAAUUCUAAAAUCAAAGAAAGAAACAGUAUCCUUCUUACAGAAGUAAAAUAGUAUCAUGUUUCAAUUUGACAUUCAGAGCUUAAUCAGAACAAAAAAGAGAAAGGAAAAGGAAAGCAAAGAGAACAAGGAAAGGGGAUGCAAUGAGAAAAGUGAAUGGAAUUGACUAUCGACUAGCGAAUUACCUGCAUGCGUCAACAAUAAGUGAGGAGAACAUCCCAACUGAUCCAUCGCCAAUGCCUAGCCUUUUCUGUUCUAGUGCAGCCACUUCGGCUUUGUUCCUGA